CAAAAACUGCAGUUACUUUUAC
rnacentral:miRNA from 1 species